UCCAAUUCCCUGCCCGAAGAGCUAAGACUCCAUCUAUAUCAAAUUCAUGUGAGGAGGUUGGCUGCUAAGACUUGUAUGCGGAAUUGAUUUUGUCUACAAUAACUAACAUACAGUCUUGUUUCACUAUUUUUAUUUUUUAACCUUUUAUUUCUACCUUUGAAAAAACUCUAGUUUAGAUACCCCUAAAUCUGAUUCCCAAACUGCUGCAUUUUUAUAGAUAUCCCAAUUUCCUAUAAAAUCUAGAAAAAAAUAGAGAAGAAAAUUAUGAGGACCCACGUGAGAGUAGAGUUUGGCCUAGUAUGCCUUUAUCAAUUCAGCACUAGAUAAUUGUGGGGAGCAGAAUCUAGAGAACUAUUUGUAAACAUGUAUGAUGUGGAUACUCUUUUUCUUUUAGGUUUUAACUGGCUAACUUACAGUCCACUGAUACUUCUCUACAUGAACAAUAGGGAUCAUCAGUUUAUUUAGUAUCGGGUCCAUUUCAUUCCAAAUCUCUAUAUCCUGAGAUCAGCACUAAAAAUGAACUAGAUUCUCAAUAAUGAGUUUUCUUUUACUAAUAACUUUCUUUUCUUAUUCCCUCCCUGCCUCCCAGACAUAUUUGGUAAUAAGGCCCUAAGCCACAUUCAGAGACUCCUAUUACAGUUGUCAUGCUUGUGUCAGUGAACUGAACUCAUCAAUCAUUAUAGCAUCCAGGCUCUUGUAUGUGGGCCCAAUUGAAAGGCACCUUCCCUGCCGUUUAAGCAGGAUCGAUGGAGUGUUCAUACUGUUCCCUGCUCUUCAAAGUAAGUAAAUCUGAUGUGCAUCUUAUAGAAACUGUUACUGUCAAGAAUUCUUUCCUUGUCCCACUCAUUUUCUAUAUUCAUUUACAUGAGAAUGCUGAGAUCUCCACCCAGCUUUAAGAUAAGGAAGGCAGGGGCCCAUGUCUUGCUGAGUCCCAAAGAACAACAGCACCUUAGGAAGAUUCCUGUUCUAUGAGGCACCUAAGUAAGAGCCUGGGCCAGAGACUGAGCAGAGAUAAACAAGAUGUCGAGUCUGAAGAUAGGAAGGCUCCCAGAAACAAAUUGUUAUAGAAGAAGAAAUCUUAUAGAAGCUCUGUGGAAAGCGAAACCUUUCUGUUUCUUAGUACUCUAUCCUCAGCAUCUAGAAGACUUGGCAAUCAUCUGUUGAAUAAAGGAAUGAAUCACUGUCACGAGGAACCUGCUGCUGUGUUAUGAAGUGCUUUGCCAGGCUUACUAUACAAUCUUGCUGUUAAGACUCUUCCUCCAUGGGUACCUGGGUGGCUCAGUCGGUUAAGCACCUUCCUUCAGCUCAUGUCAUGAUCCCAGAGCCCUAGGAUUGACUCCCAUGCAGUCUCCCUGCUCAGUGAGGACCCUGCUUCUUUCCUUCUGCCCCUCCCCCAACUUGUGGGCUCUCUCUCUCUCAAAAAUAAAUAAAUAAAUAAAAUUUAAAAAAAAAAAAAGACUUCUUUCCUGUAAUUUAUUGCUUGUGUAUACUCUUCCUGGCAAUAUUCCUUCUCUAGGGGAUAAAAUCAACUCCUUAAUUGGAAUUGGAAUUUAUCUUGAAUUCCUACAUAUUUCUUGAGAAUACAUUUAAUAGUAAAAAAUGGUCUUCAAUUUUACAAAGGCUAUAGUAAAAAAUACAAACUCAACACUCUUUCCAUUGCAUCCUGUGACUUGUAAUGACACCCAUGCAAAUGAAAUAGAAGUUUGUAUGUGUAAAAUGCUAGGACUUCCCUCUUUCACUUCCCUCCAAAAUACACUCACAUGUAUGCAUCUAAAAGCAUUUAGCAGUGUCUAGCACAAAUCAGGCACUU